rnacentral:rRNA from 1 species
UACGUAGGUGGCAAGCGAUACUCGGAAUCACUAGGCGUAAAGCGCAGGUAGGAGGUUUGGUAAGUCUAUUGUGAAAGCUCCCGGCUUAACUGGGAGAGGUCAAUGGAAACUACCAGGCUAGAGUGCGGUAGAGGUAGCUGGAAUUCCCGGUGUAGCGGUGAAAUGCGUAGAUAUCGGGAGGAAUACCUAUGGCGAAAGCAGGCUACUGGACCGCCACUGACUCUGAUCUGCGAAAGCUAGGGGAGCAAACAGG